GCUGUUGCACAAGGACCCAAGGAGGAUCAAUAAUAAGGAAUUAAACAAGGGAACAAGGGUAGCUACUGGCGCAAGAAUAAAGCCGAUCCAAGACCCUUGAUGAGAGAAGGAGCGGGUGAUCGAUUUUUACUAUGACUUAUUGACUUAGAAGGUAACUGGAGGUUUUCAGAAAGAAGAAAGAGAGAAGAUAACCGGGACAGACUCAAGGAGGAGUCCUGCCGGGAACGAGAAAAACUCCACGCUGGAACGGAUUCCGGCAGCGAAGGAGAAAUAAAACCAUAAAGCUGCCUGGUGGUUAGGUCGAAGAAGAAAGGGCUCGUCCUUCUCUGUCGCUUACGUUCAUCCCGAACCCAGACCCACCUCUUUCCCGACGAAAUCUCGCCACAACGCACGAUGGCUCCUACGCCUACCGGCAAAAGAAACUAUUGUAGGAUUCCUGGCACAGUCAAGCUGCUAUUCGAGACACCCUCCGGCUUCGCGAUCUUCACUUUCGACGAGAAAUAUCUCAAAAAAAGUAUCGAG